rnacentral:lncRNA from 1 species
CUCACAUCCAACCAUCUGGCAAUGUUACCUGCAACACUUUUAACUUAGAGACAAAAUCAUCAAGAUCAACAUCACAUGAGUUAUCAUCAGAAAAAGAUUUUGCAAAAGUAAUGCAGCAUUCCAGUAAAUAGGUAUCAUCCAAGGACUUCAAUUUUUUUGAAUUGAAUAAGAAACCAAACAACUUUUUAAAUUUCUUCAACUGAUCAAAGCGAGUGGUCAAUGAAAAUAUUGCCUUGUCAACUAUGACUAGAAAGUAAGUAACCCCGAAGGAUUCCAUAGCUCACAACUGUAUUUCUUCAUCUUCAUCAUUGAUUUCAUCAUAAUGUCUCUUUCUUUUCCUUUGACGUUUUGUAGAAAAUUCUGUAAUCUAUGUCYAUAUCAGAUGCAAUGGUUUUUGCUAUCUCAAUACUAACCUGAAAGCCUUCAUCUUUGUACUAAAAUUAUGAAGAAAAGAGGAUACAAAGAAUUAGGAAUUUAUACAUGGAUAAAUAGUUGAAUAGUGAAUACCAACAUACUAAUUACUAAAUAAAGAUAAAUGGAUGGACUACUUACCGGUGUUGAAUUCUGCUGCUGAUGAUUCCUUCUGAAUUUUGAUGGAUGGAUGGAUGGCCGGGCCUCGUGCCGGCGUGCCCUCGUUGGCUUCGGAUGUCGGAUGGCUCCAACGGCCUCAUGCCUUGGCCGUACUCCUGCUGUCUGGAUGGAUGGAUGGCUUGAUUGUCGGGCGGCCGACGGCACGGACGCGUGCAGCGGCGACAAGCCGGCCUAGGCGACGAGCGAUGCUGUAUGGCUGGACUGUAACCGCAAGCCGACGAUUUCGAGGGGCAGUGGAGACGAAGCGUCGAGGCGAUCAGAAGACGAAGGAAAAC